ACUUUGAUGAGAGUGGCGCACGGGUGCGUAACGCGUAUGCAACCUACCUUUAACAGGGGAAUAGCCCCGAGAAAUCGGGAUUAAUACUCCGUAACAUUGCGGUGUGGCAUCACACUGCACUUAAAGCUGAGGCGGUUAAAGAUGGGCAUGCGUGACAUUAGCUAGUUGGUGAGGUAACGGCUCACCAAGGCAACGAUGUCUAGGGGUCCUGAGAGGGUUAUCCCCCACACUGGUACUGAGACACGGACCAGACUCCUACGGGAGGCAGCAGUAAGGAAUAUUGGUCAAUGGGCGCAAGCCUGAACCAGCCAUGCCGCGUGCAGGAAGACGGCCCUAUGGGUUGUAAACUGCUUUUGUCAGGGAAUAAACCCCCGCUCGUGAGCGGGGCUGAAGGUACCUGAAGAAUAAGCAUCGGCUAACUCCGUGCCAGCAGCCGCGGUAAUACGGAGGAUGCAAGCGUUAUCCGGAUUCAUUGGGUUUAAAGGGUGCGCAGGCGGAUUGGUAAGUCAGGGGUGAAAUCCCACAGCUCAACUGUGGAACUGCCUUUGAUACUGUCAGUCUAGAGUAUAGUUGAAGUUGGCGGAAUGUGUCAUGUAGCGGUGAAAUGCUUAGAUAUGACACAGAACACCGAUCGCGAAGGCAGCUAGCUAAGCUAUAACUGACGCUCAUGCACGAAAGCGUGGGGAUCAAACAGGAUUAGAUACCCUGGUAGUCCACGCUGUAAACGAUGAUUACUCGAUGUAUGCGAUACACAGUAUGCGGCCAAGCGAAAGCAUUAAGUGAUCCACCUGGGGAGUACG
rnacentral:rRNA from 1 species